GGUUCGAUGGCGUAGUUGGUUAUCGCAUCUGUCUAACAUUGUAGUACCUUGGUAUGGUGUUACACAGAAGGUCCCCAGUUCGAGCCUGGGUCGAAUCA